GGGAUAGCUAGGCUGGCGCGCUAGUCCUGCGUUGUGACCGUGAAUGGACUUCACACGGAGCCGAAGUCUAAAAGAAGGCCUGAAUGUUGUUCAUUGGCCCCUAUUCCAACCGUCGAAGUCCUGUCCUUUGGGACCGUAGCUAUGCGAAACGUGUCAGAUCCGGAAGGAAGCAGCACUAAGUGUAUGUUGCUGGUGUUCAGAGGGUAGCAGAAUGGAGGAAAGAAUAGAAUCAACCGUGAACAAUAUUUUUGUCGACUUUUGGACAUGCCCC
rnacentral:SRP_RNA from 1 species